GACGAACGCUGGCGGCGUGCCUAAUACAUGCAAGUAGAACGCUGAAGGAGGAGCUUGCUUCUCCGGAUGAGUUGCGAACGGGUGAGUAACGCGUAGGUAACCUGCCUGGUAGCGGGGGAUAACUAUUGGAAACGAUAGCUAAUACCGCAUAAGAGUAGAUGUUGCAUGACAUUUGCUUAAAAGGUGCAAUUGCAUCACUACCAGAUGGACCUGCGUUGUAUUAGCUAGUUGGUGAGGUAACGGCUCACCAAGGCGACGAUACAUAGCCGACCUGAGAGGGUGAUCGGCCACACUGGGACUGAGACACGGCCCAGACUCCUACGGGAGGCGGCAGUAGGGAAUCUUCGGCAAUGGACGGAAGUCUGACCGAGCAACGCCGCGUGAGUGAAGAAGGUUUUCGGAUCGUAAAGCUCUGUUGUAAGAGAAGAACGAGUGUGAGAGUGGAAAGUUCACACUGUGACGGUAUCUUACCAGAAAGGGACGGCUAACUACGUG
rnacentral:rRNA from 1 species